rnacentral:ncRNA from 1 species
AAGACACGCAGCGACUGGCGGCACGGGGAUGGUCGAACCAUCGGGGAGCUGCUCGUCACGAGGGAGUCGACCGCCUGGGCUCCCCGC